GACGUAGGGCGCGAGCGUUGUCCGGAUUUAUUGGGCGUAAAGAGCUCGUAGGCGGCUUGUCGCGUCGUCCGUGAAAACCCACAGCUCAACUGUGGGCUUGCGGUCGAUACGGGCAGGCUCGAGUUCGGUAGGGGAGACUGGAAUUCCUGGUGUAGCGGUGAAAUGCGCAGAUAUCAGGAGGAACACCGGUGGCGAAGGCGGCUUUCUGGACUCAUACUGACGCUGAGGCGCGAAAGCGUGGGGAGCAAACAGG
rnacentral:rRNA from 1 species